rnacentral:rRNA from 1 species
CCUACGGGCGGCAGCAGUGGGGAAUAUUGCACAAUGGGGGAAACCCUGAUGCAGCGACGCCGCGUGAGUGAAGAAGUCUCUCGGUAUGUAAAGCUCUAUCAGCAGGGAAGAAAAUGACGGUACCUGACUACGAAGCCCCGGCUAACUACGUGCCAGCAGCCGCGGUAAGACGUAGGGGGCAAGCGUUAUCCGGAUUUAAUGGGGGUAAAGGGAGCGUAGACGGCGCUGCAAGUCCGGAGGGAAAGCCCAGGGCUUAACCAUGGUACUGCGCUGGAAACGGUGGAGCUUGAGUGCGGGAGGGGCAUGCGGAAUGCCUAGUGUAGCGGUGAAAUGCGUAGAUAUUGGGAGGAACACCGGCGGCGAAGGCGGCCUGCUGGACCGUAACUGACGUUGAGGCUCGAAAGCGUGGGUAGCAAACAGGAUUAGAUACCCUAGUAGUC